CAGUUUUGACAUACUACCGUUUUAAGAAUCCAGAAAUGGAAUCCUAUCUAAAUUUAUUUGGAUGGUAGAAC
rnacentral:rRNA from 1 species